rnacentral:tRNA from 1 species
UCCCUGGUGGCCCAUUGGUUAAGGACAUGGCAUUGUCACUGCUGUGGCUUAGGUUCAAUCCCUGACCCAGGAA